rnacentral:rRNA from 1 species
AGAGUUUGAUCCUGGCUCAGGAUGAACGCUAGCUACAGGCUUAACACAUGCAAGUCGAGGGGCAGCAUGAACUCAGCUUCGCUGAGUUUGAUGGCGACCGGCGCACGGGUGAGUAACGCGUAUCCAACCUGCCCUUUACUCCGGGAUAGUCUCCUGAAAGGGAGUUUAAUACCGGAUGUGUUUGUCUUUCCGCAUGGGAGCGACAAAUAAAGAUUGAUUGGUAAAGGAUGGGGAUGCGUCCCAUUAGCUGGUUGGCGGGGUAACGGCCCACCAAGGCGACGAUGGGUAGGGGUUCUGAGAGGAAGGUCCCCCACAUUGGAACUGAGACACGGUCCAAACUCCUACGGGAGGCAGCAGUGAGGAAUAUUGGUCAAUGGGCGGGAGCCUGAACCAGCCAAGUAGCGUGAAGGACGACGGCCCUACGGGUUGUAAACUUCUUUUAUAAGGGAAUAAAGUUCGCCACGUGUGGUGUUUUGUAUGUACCUUAUGAAUAAGCAUCGGCUAAUUCCGUGCCAGCAGCCGCGGUAAUACGGAAGAUGCGAGCGUUAUCCGGAUUUAUUGGGUUUAAAGGGAGCGUAGGCGGGCUUUUAAGUCAGCGGUCAAAUGUCACGGCUCAACCGUGGCCAGCCGUUGAAACUGCAAGUCUUGAGUCUGCACAGGGCACAUGGAAUUCGUGGUGUAGCGGUGAAAUGCUUAGAUAUCACGAAGAACUCCGAUCGCGAAGGCAUUGUGCCGGGGCAGCACUGACGCUGAGGCUCGAAAGUGCGGGUAUCAAACAGGAUUAGAUACCCUGGUAGUCCGCACGGUAAACGAUGAAUGCUCGCUAUGGGCGAUAUAUGGUCCGUGGCCAAGCGAAAGCGUUAAGCAUUCCACCUGGGGAGUACGCCGGCAACGGUGAAACUCAAAGGAAUUGACGGGGGC